rnacentral:rRNA from 1 species
UACGGGGGGGGCAAGCGUUGUUCGGAAUUACUGGGCGUAAAGGGCUGGUAGGCGGCCAACUAAGUCGGAUGUGAAAUCCCCAGGCUUAACCUGGGAACUGCAUCCGAUACUGGUCGGCUUGAAUCCGGGAGAGGGAUGCAGAAUUCCAGGUGUAGCGGUGAAAUGCGUAGAUAUCUGGAGGAAUACCGGUGGCGAAGGCGGCAUCCUGGACCGGCAUUGACGCUGAACAGCGAAAGCCAGGGGAGCAAACGGG